GGUGUGGAGAGUCCUCUAGGGACCAUGGGGGUGUCCACCAACUAAGCGCCUAAGGUGCUGGUGCCUACUGGAUGGAACUUGUGACCUUAGUCAGGCUGGUUUUCUGCUUUCUUAAUGUUGUCUCAGGUCCUGCGUGAUUGGAUUGGAAUAGUUGUGUUCCACUCAACAGUGAUCCUAAGAUCGCAUGGAAAGUCCUCUAAGGGACAAUGGGGGUGUCUGCUGAUUCCGAGCCUAAGGUCGUUUUAAAAUACCAAGAAUAUUUGCUGUCAGAUGAAACUCUGAAGAAAACAGCAAAAUGCAGUACCCUCAGAGGAUGGCCUUAGCACAGGCAGUCUGGCAGUGAAACAAACCUCAGAAUACAGAAACAACAGAAGAAAGACACCCACGCAUCAGCUGCAUUUGGCACCAUAAUGGACAAAUGUGUGAUGAAGAGUUUAGAAAAGUGGAAUACACAGUGGAAAGAUGGAAGAGAAAGCAAGGCCAAGGAGUUUGUACACUGUGGAGAAAGGUAGAACUGGAAACUUGAUGGCAAUGAGGAACAGGAAGAUAUGAGGAGGACAUGGUGAGGUCUGUGCCUGGCCUAUCACCAAGGACAUUCUCUGGAUCCAUGAUCAUGAUGCACUGGGGAUCUGGGUUGAUGCCCAAGGCCCAGGUUACCACCAACGGCCAAGUAAAUCACCAUGCUCUAGGAUGCCCC
rnacentral:lncRNA from 1 species